rnacentral:tRNA from 2 species
GCCGGAGUGGCGGAACGGCAGACGCGCUGCGUUCAGGGCGCAGUGGGCGCAACGCCCGUGGGGGUUCAAAUCCCUCCUCCGGCACCA